CAUUUAGUAAUUUAGACUUUGAAGCCAUUGGAAGAAUCUUAAUUAAACCUUUUUUAGGCAUGAAAAAAUAGCUAUUACAGUGCUUGCAAAACCUAUCUUUCGCUUGGCUCAUGCGUUAUUAGGAUGAUGCUUAAAUUAUUAUUUUUUAAUGUAACUGUGUCUCCUUUAUUAAGAAAUGUUGACUAGACAAGUGAUCUGUCCAAAUUUAAAACUAGAAAUAGAACCUUUAUCUCCCACCCUGUCUGAAUUAUUCUUUCCAUAUGUAGCUGCUUAGUUGUGUCUUUACCACUAAUUAACCAUGUGAACUCUAAGCAAGUUAUUUUACUUUUCUUCAUCUUUUUAUCUUUUGUAAAAUUAGGGGGUUAUUAUGAAUCAUUUCUAACAUCUCUGCUAAUGCCCCAGAUACUGUAAAUGACCCAGAAUGUAAUUGCGGGCAGUGUUAACUUAGCUUCCUAGAAGAUGGGGGAUAUGACUGGGCCUUGAAUAAAAUCCAAGAUUUGGCAGAGUAGAGAGGGAAAGAAUUCAUGAGAUGGGGAGCAGUAGAACAAAGGCUUAGGUGUGAAUAUGUGGCUGUAGUAAAGAGAAAUGGCCUGAUUAUAGCAAUUAUAUGAGGUUUAGUAGAACCAUUUAAGAAAGGUAAAGCCACUUCAUAGAAAUUAUUUUAUCCCUGCUGGUGGUUCUCUGUACCUGGCACAUACAGUCAUCCUGGAACCUUUAUCCCCGGGAUUUCCUUCAAUUUCCUCAUGUGUUAGGUUUCAUUUCCUGUAUUUCAAGUCUUGCACUUUUUUGGUUUGCAUCCUCAUUUUGGUGGAGCAUGUCCUACAGUAGCUUCCUGCG
rnacentral:lncRNA from 1 species